GACGAACGCUGGCGGCGUGCCUAAUACAUGCAAGUCGAGCGGACCAAAGGGAGCUUGCUCCUGGAGGUUAGCGGCGAACGGGUGAGUAACACGUGGGCAACCUGCCUGUAAGACUGGGAUAACAUCGAGAAAUCGGUGCUAAUACCGGAUAAUAAAAAGAACUGCAUGGUUCUUUUUGAAAGAUGGUUUCGGCUAUCACUUACAGAUGGGCCGCGGCGCAUUAGCUAGUUGGUGAGGUAACGGCUCACCAAGGCGACGAUGCGUAGCCGACCUGAGAGGGUGAUCGGCCACACUGGGACUGAGACACGGCCCAGACUCCUACGGGAGGCAGCAGUAGGGAAUCUUCCGCAAUGGACGAAAGUCUGACGGAGCAACGCCGCGUGAGUGAUGAAGGUUUUCGGAUCGUAAAACUCUGUUGUUAGGGAAGAACAAGUGCCGUUCGAAAGGGCGGCACCUUGACGGUACCUAACGAGAAAGCCACGGCUAACUACGUGCCAGCAGCCGCGGUAAAGUA
rnacentral:rRNA from 1 species